CUCCAAGGAAGAUAUACAGAUGGCCAACAAGCAUAUGCAAAAAAUGCUCAACAUCGCUGAUUAUUAGAGAAAUGCAAAUCAAAACUACCAUGAGAUACCACCUCAUACCAGUCAGAAAGGCCAUCAUUUAUAAGUCCACAAAUAACAAAUGCUGGAGGGGGUAUGCAGAAAAGGGAACCCUCCUGCACUGUUGGUGGGAAUGUAAACUGGUAUAGCCACUAUGGAGAACACUUUGGAGAUACCUUAAAAUCCAUACAUAGAAUUUCCAUAUGACCCCAAAAUCCCACUCUUGGGCAUAUAUCCGGGCAAGAGUUUCCUUGAAAAGGACACAUGCACCUGCAUUUAUAUAAUUAUUAGAUCAUAGCUAUUUUAUGUUUAUUGAUAUUUUUUUUCCUUGAAUACUCAUCAUAAUCAAUUUUAACAGAAAGGAAUGGAAUAUAUCCUUUAUUAUUUAAUCUUACUAUUCAAAAAAAUAUAAACUGAUUUAUUCUAAAAGGGUUCAUUAGGACCCAAGUAUUACCUGAAACUGUAGGUAUGCUUUUUGAGGCUUCCAUAUAGACCAAGAUUUCAUAAAAUAAUCCCUCAUACAGUCUGGAUCAGGUUUAUCCCAUAUUCUGCAUUCUGACAUUUCCCUAUCAGUAUUCUGUAAGCUCUAAGAGAGCUGAAUUUAUUGAAUUUAUACAUUUACUGGAUAACCCUGUAAGAGAUGUGUUUAAAACAUCUCUUUCAGAUUUGAAACAAAUUCUCUCAUGGUUGCAAUGAUCCUAAGGAAGGGAAAUGUAUUAAAAAAUGACUGUUAUACAGAUGUUUUAUUACAGUUAUUUUGUAAAAACUGGUGUCUAUAGUAUGUUGUCAUCUGUUCUGCAAUUGUUUUUCCAAAGUACGUAUGAAAGAGUGAAAAUUUAUAUUUGUAAUAACCAACCCUGAGGUCAUUUUGAAGAAAAAAAAUCAAAACAUGUUAUUUUGGUUUUAGUACUCGGUGUAUUUUGUUGUAGGAUCAUUCUUUUAAAAUUGAUAGCCCAUGAAGUGACUAUUAUGCCAAAGCUCUUAACUCUCAAACCACACUCUAGCCAGAGAUUGUAUUGCACUAUCAUUUGCAAUUAUUCUUGAGGUGCUGGUAAUAAGGAUGCUAUUCAUUUUUUAAUUCUGGGAAUCUCUCAUUUAUCCAAUAUCAUCAAAACUGUCUCAGUACCUUAAGAUAGGAUUGAUAUUCAGUCAGCAUACACUAGUAGGGCUGUAAUGAUGGUUAAAAUAGUGAAAUAUUACCCUACUGGUUAGUAAAUGACCAUGGCUCAGAGACCAAUUCUGGGCAGUUGCUCCUCUACAACUGCUCUGGUCCCACCAUUCUUGACAUCUUUCAGGACCCUACUUCAGGGUUUAUAUUACUGCAGUUGGUACAUGUUUUGAGUAACGUCCCAUAAAAUGUUGCUCAAGAUAUAUUAUAAACCACCCUUAGCCACUCAGAUAGGUAUUUAUAGCAAUAGGAGGCACCAGGAGACUUCUCCCAAGGUUUCCAAUCCUCUCUGACAUUAUAGAUGAACAUCUUCAAUGCAGUUUUUUUUAUUCACUGCAGCUCCAUUAUUGAUUUGUUCACACAGUUCAUUUGUGACUCCAGAAGUGAUAAUUUUGGUUUGGUUUAAUUUGGCAUCAUAAUUUGUGUUCCUCCAGAAGGACAGAGAUUCUGGCACAAGUAGAUUAGGGAGGUCAUCCCCAAAAAAUACCAAUAAAGGAGUAGGGAGGUGAAACAAGGAAGAAAAGGCAGCCAAUAAAGUGUGUUUUAUUAAGCAACACACCAUUGUGUAAAACUAGUGCCUCAUCCCAUUGGAGAGCUCUGGAAACCAGUGUGGAACACACACCUUAGAGUUAUUACACACAAGAGUUAGAGAUCUGGAGAAUAAAUACUCCAAGUCCUCUCUGUCAUGGAUUGACAACUGUUCCAAGGUGUAUUCAUUAUCAAGCACUUCUAACCUGCUGUGCAGUAGGCAGAGCUAGCCCAAGUUGCUAGAGAAAGCCUCCUGCAAAGAGAUGCAGAUGCUGGUAAUGGAAUUCAUUCAGGAAGGUCUGCACUAAAACUGUAAGGUCCAACAACACUUGCUAAUCUAGGCUUUAGCCAAGAGGUACUCACAGCAAACUCCUACUGGCUCCAUCACUGUGACCUUACCUUCCCCCUAAGAAGUGUACUGAAACCUGAUGAACUUCAAGGGGCACAAUUUCUCAUCCAGACACAUUUUCUACAGGUUGAAGCCUUAACAGGAUGUAAAUAAAUUAGCUUGCAUUGGAGUAAUAUGUCCAUCAAGUUUUUAAAUAAUCUUUUUCCAGGUAUCUCAGCACAAGUGAAUUGGGGCUGCAUUUCUCUUAGGGGAAAUCUCGACCAUCAUUUUCUUUUUGGAUACCCAUCUCAGCUCUUCAAAAACAUUUUCUUUAAAGCAGUAGUGCUCAUGGAGACUAAAAAUGCUGCCACUUGGGAAAAGACUCAGCCAUCUUUUUCUUUCUUCAAAACUCUUUACUCUUUCCUCUUUGAUGUGGGGAAGGGAGGGUGGUGAAAAGCCUGCAUCCCUUACUAGAAAAAAGUGGAAUAGCAACCCCACUCUGGAAAGGCCUGGAAAGGAGUAAACUGUCUACACGAGCUCUCUCUAUACACUGGGGUACGCUGUGUCUGGAUCUAUGUUCUUGAGUUUGCCACUUUUUGAUAUUAGCCAUCCAAUUACCAAGGUUUGUGAUUUUGCUAGCACAUUCGUAGAAAAUAAAGUAAACCAUUUGACAUGCUUUGACUUGAGGCCUCUGGUUGGCCUUUAGCUUAGAUAAAAUAAUAUGAAUAAGAAUUAUUGGGAGUUCCUGUCAUGGCUUAGCGGAUAGAUUAGGAAUGAAUCCGACUAGGAACCAUGAGGUUGUGGGUUUGAUCCCUGGCCUCACUCAGUGGGUUAAGGAUCCAGCAUUGCCGUGAGCUCUGGUGUAGGUCGCAGACGUGGCUUGGAUCCCGCAUUGUGGCUCUGGCAUAGGCCGGUGGCUACGGCUCUGAUUAGACCCCCAGCCUGGGAACCUCCAUAUGCUGCAAGUGUGGCCCUAGAAAAAGACAAAAAAAAAUUAUUAUUAUGAUAGUAGUGUUAACUUAUUGUGCCCUAACUCUAUGGUCCAAUAGUAGGUGUUUUUCAUGGAUUGGUUUAUUUAAUCUUUACAACCCAUUCUCUGAAAGAGCUAUUAUUAUAUCCAUUUAUAGAUGAGUGCUUCAUUAGGUCCACUAGAUCUCUCCAAUGAAAAGGAAAACCUUCCUCCGUAAUUACUGAGUAAUCCAAGGGUGAUAUUUUUACAUCAUCCCUUGAUCCUGUCAAUAACCCUUGAUCCAAUGGCUUU
rnacentral:lncRNA from 1 species